rnacentral:rRNA from 1 species
GACGAACGCUGGCGGCGUGCCUAAUACAUGCAAGUAGGACGAGUUGCGAACGGGUGAGUAACGCGUGGUAACCUACCUAUUAGAGGGGGAUAACUAUUGGACACGAUAGCUAAUACCGCAUACCAUCGGAUGUGCCCCGAUGGGACUAGCUAGUAGGUGGGGUAAUGGCUCACCUAGGCGACGAUACCUACAUGGUCUGGGAGGAUGGCCAGCCACACUGGAACGGAGACACGGUCCAGAGUCCUACGGGAGGCAGCAGUGGGGAAUGUUGCACAAUGGGCGCAAGCCUGAUGCAGCCAUGCCGGGUGUAUGAAGAAGGCCUUCGGGUUGUAAAGUGCUUUCAGCGAGUAGGCGUUACUCGCAGAAGAAGCACCGGCUAACUCCGUGCCAGCAGCCGCGGUAAUUC